GAAUGGUAAAGCUGCGAAUGGCUCAUUACUGCAGACAGGUUUAUUUGAUCUUAAUCCAUUACUUGGAUACCUGUUCUAAUUGAAGAGCUAAUACAUGCAACUAAGUCCCAACCGCAAGGGCGGGAUGCACUUAUUAGACCAAAACCAAUCGGGCUUGCCCGAGGUUUGGUGACUCUGAAUAAUUUCGCUGACCGCACGGUCUCGCACCGGCGGCGCAUCUUUCAAAUGUCUGCCUUAUCAACUUUCGAUGGUAGUUUAUGCGCCUACCAUGGUUGUAACGGGUAACGGAGAAUAAGGGUUCGUACUCCGGAGAGGGAGCCUGAGAAACGGCUACCACAUCCUAGGAAGGCAGCAGGCACGCAAAUUACCCACUCCCGGUACGGGGAGGUAGUGACGAAAAAUAACGAGACGGUCUCUUUGAGAUUUUGUCAUCGGAAUGGGUACAAUCUAAUCCUUUAUACGAGGAUCUAUUGGAGGGCAAGUCUGGUGCCAGCAGCCGCGGUAAUUCCAGCUCCAAAAGCGUAUAUUAAAGUUGUUGCGGUUAAAAAGCUCGUAGUUGGAUCUGCGUCUUAGGCUAGCGGUCCCCCCAGCGGGUGGUUACUGCUAUGCCUGGACUAAUCUCUCUGGUUUUCCCUUGGUGCUCUUUACUGAGUGUCUUGGGUGGUUGGAACAUUUACUUUGAAAAAAUUAGAAUGGUUAAAGCAAGCAGUUAGCUUGAAUAGUGGUGCAUGGAAUAAUGGAAUAGGACUUCGGUUCUAUUUUGUUGGUUUUCGGAACUCGAGGUAAUGAUUAAGAGGGACAGACGGGGGCAUUCGUAUUGCGACGUUAGAGGUGAAAUUCUUGGAUCGUCGCAAGACGGACUACUGCGAAAGCAUUUGCCAAGAAUGUUUUCAUUAAUCAAGAACGAAAGUUAGAG
rnacentral:rRNA from 1 species